CCAGGUCAUGCGAUUGUAAGAGAUAAGAUAGGAAAAUACAUCAUUCUGUGAAGUUAGGACUUGGAAGCUUGUGUUGUAUGUAUAUAUGUAUAGUGUGGAGGAAAGCAAUAGGAAUUUUUGUGGAAAUUUAUCAUAUAGCGUUUACCUCAUCCAAUACAGCAUUUACCGAACAUGAGUUGACAUUAUGACACACCAUUCUGUUUACCUGACGUACUGAUUACAAAAAAAAAACAAUACACAAGAUUUUUAUCGCGUAUAUCACACGUGUUAUUCUUGAAUAUGUCUUACUUGAAACAAAUCUAUGGGUGUUUACUGUCCUGAUUAUAACCAUGUCUCUGGCAUUUACCGUCCUUAUUACCGUGCAUUGAGGCCUUUCAUAUUAUCAUGUCUAGCGUGUGUGAUGUCCUUAUUAACCAUGUCUGGUAAGUUGACUGUCCUGCUUAUAACCAUGUAUAGGGUGUUUAAUCCCUUACUAUGACCAUGCCUAGGGUGUCCUUUGUCCUUUUACCCUGUCUAGGGUGUUUACUGUCCUUCUAAUGACCAUGUCUGUGGUGUUUAAUGUCCUUCUUAUGACCAUGUCUGGGGUGUUUAAUGUCCAUCUUGUUGACCAUGUCUGGCGUGUUUAAUGUCCUUCUUAUGACCAUGUCUGGGGUGUUUAAUGUCCUUCUUAUGGCCAUGUCUGGGGUAUUUAAUGUCCUUCUUAUGACCAUGUCUGGGGUGUUUAAUGUCCUUCUUAUGACCAUGUCUGGGGUGUUUAAUGUCCUUCUUAUGGCCAUGUCUGGGGUGUUUAAUGUCCAUCUUAUGACCAUGUCUGGGGUGUUUAAUGUCCUUCUUAUGACCAUGUCUGGGGUGUUUAAUGUCCUUCUUAUAACUAUGUCUGGGGUGUUUAAUGUCCAUCUUAUGACCAUGUCUUUGGUGUUUAAUAUCCUUCUUAUAACCAUGUCUGGGGUGUUUAAUGUCCUUCUUAUGACCAUGUCUGGGGUGUUUAAUGUCCUUAUGACCAUGUCUGGGGUGUUUAAUGUCCUUCUUAUGACCAUGUCUGGGGUGUUUAAUGUCAAUCUUAUGACCAUGUCUGGGGUGUUUAAUGUCCUUCUUAUAACCAUGUCUGGGGUGUUUAAUGUCCAUCUUAUGACCAUGUCUUGGGUGUUUAAUGUCCAUCUUAUGACCAUGUCUUUGGUGUUUAAUAUCCUUCUUAUAACCAUGUCUGGGGUGUUUAAUGUCCUUCUUAUGACCAUGUCUGGGGUGUUUAAUGUCCUUAUGACCAUGUCUGGGGUGUUUAAUGUCCUUCUUAUGACCUGUCUGGGGUGUUUAAUGUCAAUCUUAUGACCAUGUCUGGGGUGUUUAAUGUCCUUCUUAUGACCAUGUCUGGGGUGUUUAAUGUCCUUCUUAUGACCAUGUCUGGGGUGUUUAAUGCCCAUCUUAUGACCAUGUUUUGGGUGUUUAAUGUCCUUCUUAUGACCAUGUCUGGGGUGUUUAAUGUCCAUCUUAUUACCAUGUCUGGGGUGUUAAAUGUCCUUCUUGUGACCAUGUCUGGGGUGUUUAAUGUCCUUCUUAUGACCAUGUCUGGGGUGUUUAAUGUCCAUCUUAUGACCAUGUCUUUGGUGUUUAAUGUCCUUCUUAUAACCAUGUCUGGGGUGUUUAAUGUCCUUCUUAUGACCAUGUCUGGGGUGUUUAAUGUCCUUCUUAUGACCAUAUCGGGGUGUUUAAUGUCCAUCUUAUUACCAUGUCUGGGGUGUUAAAUGUCCUUAUGACCAUGUCUGGGGUGUUUAAUGUCCUUCUUAUAACCCUGUCUAGGGUGUUUACUGUCCUUCUUAUGGCCAUGUCUGUGGUGUUAAAUGUCCUUCUCAUGACCAUGUCUGGGGUCUUCACUAUCCCUAUAACCAUGCUAAGGGUCUUUACUGUCCUGCUUAUAACUUUGUUCGUCUAGGGUGUUUAUUGCUCUUCGUACGACCAUGAAAAGGUGUUCACAGUCCUACAUUGAUAUAUAUAGUUCACACGUUUUGUCACACCUGUGUCUAUAUCUGUUGACAAUAAGGUCACCUAAUUCUGUAUCGAGUUGUGAUACCAACAUUAUAACAUGCUAUUAUGGCGACAUUGACGUUUCUCCUUGCUUCGACUUUAUGCAGUGCAACUGCCCUUCCAGCCCUAACCUAACCACCACCUACUGUACUGAACGGAUGUAUCGUCGGUGGUAAUUUCCUCCAAGAUGGGUCAUCCUAUCGUCCGUCACCGUGUGAAACUUGCUUCUGCAAUCAGUGGCGUGUCGCCUGUAUGAUUGCAGAUUGUUUUAUGGCCAACUGUGUUGAAGCACGCUGUGAAGACACCAGACGCUUGCUGUCCUACUUGUCCAAACGGUCCCUAUUGUCUGGCGAGCAAACAGAAGAUACAAGCUGGGAAGGAUGUGCAAAUAGAUGAGCACACAACGUGUCGGUAUCCUCACCAAGCCUUCGGCUUACGUCAGGCGGUAUGUAACGCCACUGCAGCCACUGUGGCACCACUUCCAUAAUUGGAUGUACACACGUACAAUAAAUAACACACAUGGUACAUAGACUUUGUUUAUUUGUAGAAAUUAAAACAAAUGUACUUAGUGGCGCUGAAUGAAGAGACAGUUUUAGUGAGUGAGUGAGUAUGGCUUUACGCCGCUUUUAGCAAUAUUCCAGGAAAAUCUCGGCGGGGGACACCUGAAAUAGGCUUAGCACAUUGUGACGAGCGAACGCUUUAACCACGAGGCUACCCGACCGCCCCAGAGACAGUUUCACUGGAAUCAAAUAGACGAUGGUUUCACUGUUGCCACAGAUUUACAGAUAUAUACAGGGUAAGCAUAGAAACUUAUAUGUAAUGUUUGUGGACUUCUCUAAACAAUUUGAUUCUGUAACAAGAAGUAAAAUUAGUGUUUUAUUCGUUCUCACAGGAGGAGUAAUAAAACGGUAAAGUUAUUAUAUAUCUAUCAAGAUUUUUACUUGUGACUCUGUGUGCGACAAGACCGUGUGCUAAGCCAUUUUCUCUUCUCAUUCUAUACUGGUUAAUUUGCUGAACAGAUAAGACGGUAUAAUUAUGGGGAAUUUCGAAUACACGCAGACAGUAUUAAAAUAUUUAUGUAACUCUUUGCAGAUGAAAUUGUUACGUUUCCAUUGUACUAUAAAAUACCUACAAAGGCUGAUACAAACACAAUAAGAACUAUAUUGUAAUAAUUGGAGGCUCAGUGUUAUUUUAGAUACGACUUGGGUUAUUGUGUUCAGUAAAGGUUA